GGCUCAGGAUGAACGCUGGCGGCAUGCCUAAUACAUGCAAGUCGAACGGAGGAAUCGAGAAAGCUUGCUUUUUUGAGGAAUCAGUGGCGAACGGGUGAGUAACACGUAGGUAACCUGCCCAGAUCACGGGGAUAACGGUUGGAAACGACAGCUAAGACCGGAUAGGUGAUGGCGAGGCAUCUUGUCAUCAUGAAAAGAGCUGAAAGGCUCUGGAGCUGGAUGGACCUGCGGCGCAUUAGCUAGUUGGUGAGGGUAACGGCCCACCAAGGCGAUGAUGCGUAGCCGGCCUGAGAGGGUGCACGGCCACAUUGGGACUGAGACACGGCCCAAACUCCUACGGGAGGCAGCAGUAGGGAAUUUUCGUCAAUGGGGGGAACCCUGAACGAGCAAUGCCGCGUGAGUGAAGAAGGUCUUCGGAUCGUAAAGCUCUGUUGUAAGAGAAAAAGGGCGCAUAUAGGAAAUGAUAUGCGAUUGAUGGUAUCUUACCAGAAAGCCACGGCUAACUACGUGCCAGCAGCCGCGGUAAUACGUAGGUGGCGAGCGUUAUCCGGAAUGAUUGGGCGUAAAGGGUGCGUAGGUGGCACGAUAAGUCUGGAGUAAAAGGGAGCGGCUCAACCGCUGUUGGCUCUGGAAACUGUCGAGCUAGAGAGCAGGAGAGGGCGAUGGAAUUCCAUGUGUAGCGGUAAAAUGCGUAGAUAUAUGGAGGAACACCGGUGGCGAAGGCGGUCGCCUGGCCUGCAACUGACACUGAAGCACGAAAGCGUGGGGAGCAAAUAGGAUUAGAUACCCUAGUAGUCCACGCCGUAAAGCGAUGGAGGACUAAGUGUUGGGGGAACUCAGUGCUGCAGUUAACGCAAUAAGUCCUCCGCCUGGGGAGUAUGCACGCAAGUGUGAAACUCAAAGGAAUUGACGGGGGCCCGCACAAGCGGUGGAGUAUGUGGUUUAAUUCGAAGCAACGCGAAGAACCUUACCAGGUCUUGACAUCCCUUGCAAGUCCACUGGAGACAUGGAGGAGGUCAUCAAGGGAGACAGGUGGUGCAUGGUUGUCGUCAGCUCGUGUCGUGAGAUGUUGGGUUAAGUCCCGCAACGAGCGCAACCCUUGUCGCAUGUUACCAAUAUUGAGUUAGGGACUCAUGCGAGACUGCCGGUGACAAACCGGAGGAAGGUGGGGAUGACGUCAAAUCAUCAUGCCCCUUAUGACCUGGGCUACACACGUACUACAAUGGCGGCUACAAAGAGAAGCGACAUCGUGAGGUGAAGCGGAUCUCAGAAAGGCCGUCCCAGUUCGGAUUGAAGUCUGCAACUCGACUUCAUGAAGUUGGAAUCGCUAGUAAUCGCGAAUCAGCAUGUCGCGGUGAAUACGUUCUCGGGCCUUGUACACACCGCCCGUCAAACCAUGGGAGUCGGAGAUACCCGAAGCCGGUGGCAUAACCGAAAGGAAUGAGCCGUCGAAGGUAGAGCUGAUGACUGGGACGAAGUC
rnacentral:rRNA from 1 species